rnacentral:rRNA from 1 species
AUGGAGGGGCAGGCCCAAGUACUUCGAAUCAUCAACAAGAAAUCCAAGAAAGAACAGCGAAGGAAAAACGUGACAAGAAAAGUGUUUUCUCGACUCGAGAUGUUAGAAGGUGCUAAAUCAAUAGGUGCUGGAGCUGGUAUCGGUAUUGGAAACGUCCUCAGUUCUUUGAUUCAUUCCGUGGUGCAAAAUCCAUCAUUGGCUAAACAAUCAUUUGGUUAUGCCAUUUUGGGCUUUGCUCUCACUGAAGCUAUUGCAUUGUUUGCCCCAAUGAUGGCCUUUGUGAUCUCAUUUGUUUUCCGAUCGCUUAAAAAGUCA